ACGGAGAGUAUAUAAACGGAUCCACUGCCGCUCCAGCUUCAUUGAGCAGCAGUCGCAACAACGAGAACAAGUACUAAUUCCUGCUACUUCUACUGACUGCAGAUUCUUCUAAGCCGCUGCCUCGUGUCUGCUUGGUUCCUGCCAUCUGCGCCCUGCGCAGUUCAUUCAUCAUCGAGUCAUCUGUGCAAACAUCUGGCACGUGCUUCACCUCCCUGGACCACGCUGCGCUUGCGCUACCUUGGCACGGAGAGUAUAUAAACGGAUCCACUGCCGCUCCAGCUUCAUUGAGCAGCAGUCGCAACAACGAGAACAAGUACUAAUUCCUGCUACUUCUACUGACUGCAGAUGCACGUGGAAGUGUUACAACCUUGGCAAAGCAGAACGCUGCAGUCAUCCAAUCCAAUCCAAGCUCUAGCCAUCGUCGCCACGCCAUUUUUCAUUCUGCGAUCGUUGUAAGGGCAGCGGAGCAGCGUUUGUCACCUUCCGUGCCUGCCGAAGUCUCCUACUCAACUACCAAGGUGCCAGGAUGCCUAGACUGCGGGAGAAGCCGCACGCGCGAAAAAGAGCGUCGCUGGAAACAAAGACGAUAUUCGAGGACUUCGGAUCUCGCACCGGCAGCCAGCAGUCAACAGCUCGAGAAUUCGCAAGUCUAGAACUGUGCAGUGGCGCGCAUACCCCGCACGCAUGCAUUAACAUGUGCGUUCGGGCUGUCCCUGCAAACAUUUGUACGCCUUGUGAUGCUGGUCGCUGCACCGAGGCGACAUCGGAAGUUCAGGACGGUGGUUGUGACACUACGCGCACUAAGGACAAUGUGCCUUGCUUCCCUGAUGGAUAUACUCUACGUGACGCUUCGGAUGGUUCACUUCGCUGUGAGAACGGAACAGGAUCCCUUAGGAGAGGUGUACGCACAAGUCAAUGCGGGUUUUCUGGUAAGCAGGACCCCGGUCUACAUUUGCUUUAGCUACCGCGGACUCUUCAUCGGCGCCCUUUGAUUCUCCUGGCAAACAGCUUCUCCUGGCUAAUGCGCUCAUGAUCAGAGCUGUAGCCGUCAGUAGCGGCAAGAUCGCCUGCUGAUCUCUACGAAAAUAAAAAGCUCCUUUUAAAAAAAGUGAAGAAUAUAUUAGUUGUUUUUAACUACAAGUUUGUUUAAUAUCGUGAGAAUAUGGUCACUACGGCCACGGCGGGGACAUUGUAAACGAGAGUACGCAUUCGAUGGCCAAGUGAGUUUUAAUAAUUGUAAGAACGCACUACGCCACGAGAAAGAGCUAUUGUUUAAAGAAAGUGAAGAAUAUAUUGAUUGUUCUUCACUAAUAGU